AUGGAAAGAAUUAUGCAAUUAAGGUGGUAUUUUUGCCUCAAUGCAGAAAUUGCUUAUUUUUCCAGUGAAAUCCAAUAUAUAGGGGAAGGAAAGAGGAAGAAAGUGUUUACUUCUGCAGUGGUAAAAUUGUUUUUGUUUGGGGUUGUUGGGGGGGAGGCGGCAGGGGAGGAGGGAAGGGAGGUAUCGCAUUUGGCAAGUCUUAUUUUUCCUCAUAUAUGAGGGCUUAUUUGAGAUUUGGUUUAACAAGUGUGUGUUUCAUGUAGGAUCUCUUAUGGAAUUAUUAAUGUUAGCAUAAUCAGAAUCCAUUUUCUAUAUUAAGGCAAAGGGCUAAAAAAUUAGAGGAAUGCUAGAAUGGAUAUUUAAGACAAAAAGAAUAUCGGUGUCCAUCUCCUUAUGAGUGAGGGCAAUGAUAUUAUGCGUUUCUUAGAAUUCGGUUGGAAAAAAAAAAUAAGGGAAGAAGAAAGAAGAAAUAAAUGAAUUAAAAGGAAGGAAAACAGAAAGACACUGGAAAAAAAAGAGCCAAAAAUAGAGGUCCCUAAUCUAAUUGAAGAACAUGGAGAUUGAAGUAGUAGUGUUGAAUUGCAGAUAUAAAUUCAACAGUCAACUUGAUGUUUGGGAUGAUUGUUCUAAUUUUACACUAUUGAGAGGUUUCACUUGAUUACCAUAUGAUUUUAAAUUUUUAAUUGCAGGCUUUUCAUAAAUCUCAUUUAU
rnacentral:misc_RNA from 1 species